GCUGCAACUCGCCUACACGAAGUUGGAAUUGCUAGUAAUCGUGGAUCAGCAUGCCACGGUGAAUACGUUCCCGGGUCUUGUACACACCGCCCGUCACACCAUGGGAGCUGGUAACACCCGAAGUCAGUAGUCUAACCGCAAGGAGGACGCUGCCGAAGGUGGGAUUAGCGACUGGGGUGAAGUCGUAACAAGGUAUC
rnacentral:rRNA from 1 species